AUAUCAGUAAGCGGAGGAAAAGAAACCAACAGGGAUUGCCCCAGUAACGGCGAGUGAAGCGGCAACAGCUCGAAUUUGAAAUCUGGCUCCGGCCCGAGUUGUAAUCUGUAGAGGACGCUUUUGGCGCGGUGCCUUCCGAGUGCCCUGGAACGGGACGCCACAGAGGGUGAGAGCCCCGUAUGGUCGGACACCAAGCCUCUGUAAAGCUCCUUCGACGAGUCGAGUAGCUUGGGAAUGCUGCUCUAAGUGGGAGGUAAACUUCUUCUAAAGCUAAAUACUGGCCAGAGACCGAUAGCGCACAAGUAGAGUGAUCGAAAGAUGAAAAGCACUUUGAAAAGAGGGUCAAAUAGUAC
rnacentral:rRNA from 1 species